CCUACGGGUGGCAGCAGUGGGGAAUAUUGCGCAAUGGGCGAAAGCCUGACGCAGCGAAGCCGCGUGAGGGAAGAAGGCCUUAGGAUCGGAAACCCCUGUCAGCAGGGAAGAAGCAAGACGGUACCUGACCAAGAAGCACCGGCUAACUACGAGGCAGCAGCCGCGGCAAAACGUAGGGGGCAAGCGGUAUACCGAUUUACUGGGUGUAAAGGGGACGUAGACGGCAAGGCAAGGCUGGCGGUAAAGGCGGGGGCCCCACCCCUGUACUGCUCUGGAAACUGUCCGGCUGGAGUGCAGGAGAGGUAAGUGGAAUGCCUAGUGUAGCGGUGAAAUGCGUAGAUAUUAGGAGGAACACCAGUGGCGAAGGCGGCUUACUGGACUGUAACUGACGUUGAGGCUCGAAAGCGUGGGGAGCAAACAGGAUUAGAUACCCCUGUAGUC
rnacentral:rRNA from 1 species